UCUGAGGAAGCUUAGCGGUUGGCCUCCCCCUUCCAGAGCUACCACUUCAGAGUAGACAGGGGCUCCAAAUGCAGCUGCAUUGUUUACCAGCUCUGGCAGUUUGGAUAAGUGACUUCACCUUCUUGAAUCUCACUUCCUUCAUCUGCAGAGUGGGGGUAAUGCUUGUACAUGGUACAGAAGUUCAAAUUUUAACAAUAGGUAUGCAGAGAGGAGUCUCCCUUCCCAUCUCCCACCCGCCCCCGGCCUCCCUAUCCCCGGAAGCAACUGCUGUCACCUGAUUAUCCAUCCAGAGAAGUUCUGUCCAGCAGUUUUCCAGCUGUAUUCUACUUGAGCCCCGGGCUUCCCACAAGUGCAUCAGAAGCCAACAUAGAAGAGAAGAAUGAAGGAGAAAACCCAUGAGGGCAUCCAUCCAUCAGCGAACACCCAAGCCAAGGUCCUUUAGGAACAAAGAACACCUCCAGACCCGAGCUGAGCCCAUCUGGAGAACGUCCACUGAACCAGACCAGCGACACGGGAAGUCGGGCCUCACAGCUACCUUUCCUGAGCCUGAGCCACC